AGAUAUUCUUAGCUGUCUUUCAUAGAGUUUUAAAAUUUUUAGUAUGAAGAUAACUGCAAAUGUUAGAAAGUGUACCUAAUAAUACUGUUUUUGUACAGUUAUUAUAUGAAGCCUCUCUGUCUCUAGUUGGAAAAUGGCCCCUGCCUUCAUGCUGUGUCCCCAUAUCUUUGCUCUGUUCUUAUACCUGUAGGUUGAUUCUCAGUCUAUUCUAUGUUCUUCACCUUGACUCUGCUUUAAUUUAAUUACCUUUCUAAUGGUCUCACCUCAAAAUAUAAUCACAUUCUGGGUCACUUGGUCACUGGGAGCUUUAACAUACAAAUGUUGCAGGAUACAAUCCAGCCCUUAACAUUGUCUGAGGAUUUUAAAGUAAAAAAAAAAAAUGAAGGCAGAGCCUUAAAAUUCUGCUGGACUUUAUUAUGCCUUUACAUAUAAUAGGAGAAAUUUCUGAAUGAGAAAAGAGAAAAGGGGCAUAAAGAAUGUUUGAAGAAAUAUGCUUCUUAUGGUGGCUGUACCAUUUUACACUGCCAUCAACAGGGCGCUAUAACUUCCCAUAUAUGAUAAAAAUGUAUAAAUCUACACAUCUAAGAAGUGGAAUGAACUCCAAAUAAAGUCUAUUAUACACAUAUAAUCAAACAACUGAAAGAAAAACAAAUUGUGAAAGUAAUAUAAAAAAAUGACUUGUGACACCAGGUAAGAACAGCUGAUUUGCCAUCAGGAACCAUGGAGGCCAGAAGGUGGUGGCAUGAAAUAGAGUGCUAAAAGAAAUAAUUAACCAAGAAUUUCAUAAGCAGCAAAAUUAUAUUUCGAAACAUGAAGAUGAAAUUAAGAUAUUCCCAGAUAGAGAAAAAACAGAUUUUAUCACUAACAGAUAGAUCUGUCCUGUAAGAAAUACUAAAGGGAAGUUCCUCAGGAUGCCUUAACAGUCAUUAGACAGUAACUUGAAUGCAUAUGAAGAACUGUUGAGCCAAUAAAGGAAACUAUGAAGUAAAGGUAAAUAUAAAAGAUAGUGCAAGCACAUUUUUUGUUGUAACUUUUUCUCCUGUAUUAUUUAAAAGAUAAUCACAUAAAGCAAUAAUUAUAAAUCUGUGUUGCUGUGCAUAUAGUAGUGUUUGUGAAAAUAAGGCCAAACAUAAUGGAGACAACAAAGGUACACAGAACUAACUCUGCAUACUACUGAGAUUAAGUUGGUAUUAAUCCAUUGUAAGUUAUAUUAAUUAUAAUCCAUAGGCCAAUCACUAAGGAGAUAAUUCAU
rnacentral:lncRNA from 1 species